GAUGAACGCUGGCGGCGUGCCUAAUACAUGCAAGUCGAGCGAACAGACGAGGAGCUUGCUCCUCUGACGUUAGCGGCGGACGGGUGAGUAACACGUGGAUAACCUACCUAUAAGACUGGGAUAACUUCGGGAAACCGGAGCUAAUACCGGAUAAUAUAUUGAACCGCAUGGUUCCAUAGUGAAAGACGGUUUUGCUGUCACUUAUAGAUGGAUCCGCGCCGCAUUAGCUAGUUGGUAAGGUAACGGCUUACCAAGGCAACGAUGCGUAGCCGACCUGAGAGGGUGGUAGGCCACACUGGAACUGAGACACGGUACAGACUCCUACGGGAGGCAGCAGUAGGGAAUCUUCCGCAGAGGGCGAAAGCCUGACGGAGCAAAGCCGCGUGAGUGAUGAAGGUCUGCGGAUCGUAAAACUCUGUUAUUAGGGAAGAACAAAUGUGUAAGUAACUAUGCACGUCUUGACGGUACCUAAUCAGAAAGCCACGGCUAACUACGUG
rnacentral:rRNA from 1 species